rnacentral:piRNA from 1 species
UGUUUAUGCCCAGGAAACCUCUCCCA